rnacentral:rRNA from 1 species
GACGAACGCUGGCGGCGUGCCUAACACAUGCAAGUCGAACGGAGAUUAUUGAUGAAGCUUGCGAUUUAAUAAUCUUAGUGGCGAACGGGUGAGUAACACGUGGGUAACCUGCCCAUAAGAGGGGGAUAACAUCCGGAAACGGGUGCUAAUACCGCAUAGGUUUCUUGGUCGCAUGAUCGAGAAAGGAAGACGGCCUUUGUGCUGUCGCUUAUGGAUGGACCCGGGCGUAUUAGUUAGUUGGUGAGGUAAAGGCUCACCAAGACAACGAU